UCUGGGUUAUGUGGGUCGCUACCAGGAGGCAAGAAUCUCAUCAAUUAACAUCAAAAUUCAGCAAGAUUGUGAAGGAUUCUAGUCAUAAAUCGAAUGUUUGUGCUUAAUUAUUGUCUAAUCCAAGAGUUUUGAGCAUAAGGAUCGAAAGAAGAAGGAGCUAGUUCCGGAUCACAAACAAAGGCACAAGAUCGAGGUAAGUUCGUUACUUACAUGUUUAGUUGUGAGUUUAUUAAUUUGUCCCUUUGAUAAUUGAUUUUCAAAUUAAAGUCAUUGUUUCGAUUGAGAUUGAGAUAGUGAAGGAAGGAGUCCGUAUCGGUCCAUGUCGAAUGGGUCGGUUCGGGUUCGAAUGAGAAUGAAAUUAGGGGAAGUUUUCUCCAUGAUCCGUACUAAACGGGUUAAUGGAAGUGAAUGAGAAAUAGUUAUGCCAAAUCGACUAGAAUGAAUUGGGGAAAAGAAAUAAGAAUGAUUGGUAAGAUAUCUAGUAGAACCGUGAAUACGAAUUGUAAUGGAACGAAAAUGCCAUGUAUUAUUCACUAAUAUAAUUUGUUGGAUGAUUGUAGGUAAAGCACAAGUAUAAAGUCAUCGCGUCGCUCGGAUACGAACACACCUUGAUCACCCGUGAUGCGCUUCCGCAACUUUUGUAGUAACCUUAUUAGUUAAAAGCUCUUGUUAAAGUUAGUGGUGUUGAAGUUUUGAACUUUAACUAGAUGUUUGUGAAUAUUUAAGUAUCUUAAACUUGAUCUUUUGAAACGGUAGUUUAAAUGUUAAGGUCUUUCUUAUGUU